CCUCGCCUGGCAGCGCCUCUAGCCGCGUCGCGUUUAUCCAGGAUACGGAAAAGUUUGCCAACCCCCGGUCUUACUCCUCAUUAAGGAAGUGUUGGAAUCAGUCACGGAGCCCUGCCAGGGAUGAUGGGGAUUGAGAGCAGUCAAACACCCUACAGGAGGCCAUGCAGCCAUCCACAGCUCUGCAGAGAGAAACUAAACUGGCGAAUUACCAUGAGUUCCAGCCCUGGGUUCUCUGUGCCAGUUUCCACUGUGGACAGGGCAAUGGACUGUCUUCCACUUGCUUUCUCCAUCUCUUGUUCUCCUCAACUGAAAAACAAAUUCGGGGCCAAGCCUGAAAGACUGGUCACUCUGUCCUGUGGGGAUGGGGAGAAUUUUUAGGACCAGUUACCCAUGGAAAAUGCAAAACUAAAAGUCUUUGAAGGCUUAGUUGAUUUCUUUAAGAACUGAGAAUUGAGAAGAUUGGAUGUGUAAUUUUUAUAUAAUACGUGAUGAAAAAUAAAAUCCUAUUUCCUCUUGUGAAUAGCUAAAGAAGGGGCAAUAAGAUAGGAGAAGAGAAAUGAAAGGCAGUGGAAUUGAAAUGAAUCAGUGGGCGGCCCAGGGCCCCAGGAUCUGGGCUAUAAAGGUUCCUACUUGGAACCUCAAAGGAAGAGUCAUAGGGUAACUACUCCUUUUAGCCCGGGGGAGGCCCCACUAAGCUUGCUGAGUAAGAAGGAAACGGGGAGCAAGGCAGUUGGGAAGACCCAGACCCUAAAGUACUGCUGAACAGACAAAGAUUAACAAGCCUUCAAAUUCCUGACUAUAAUGCAGCAUAAGAAUUAUGUUUUAUGCCCCAGAGAGAACUCCUUAUCAGUGAAAUUAAUGAAACUUACAUUUAAAAUAAUUAGUGUGAAUGUUAAUGAUCCCAAGUAAAGUUUUAAACAAAAUAAGCAAACGUGGGCCUCAGAAUAAGCAAAUUUAAUACAUGGACAUUCACAAUUAGAAUAUAAGUUCAUUCUGAGAUAUUUCUUUACUUUGCAGAAAAUUCCCUUCCCCAUGGAUUUGCUUUUAAAAACGUGAUCUCUUC